CGGGUUAAACUUUAAACGGACUCGUGAGGAUUUGCCCUGGCUACCCGGCAAAAACUCAUUAAAACUACCGGUAGUGCUAAGCAUGUAAAAAACUGAUGGCAGAAGGUUUCUGGACGCGGGUUCGACUCCCGCCAUCUCCACCA
rnacentral:tmRNA from 1 species